AUGGCGUCAGAAUCGUCGUAUGAGACUCGCCGUUCGACGCCGAAUCGCCGCUCUAUUCCGGCAACGAAGCCCUCCAUUUCGCAUUUUCGCUCUCUCAGAUCCAACAACAGCAGCUCCGGCAACGGCAAGGAUGCCUCCGAGAACGGAGUCGUACACGAUUCGGACGGGAAUCGCAACGCAAACGUAGGAGAGGUGCCACGGUUAGAGUGGGAUGCAAAGACAAGUCAGGCAUGGCACUCUUGGUAUAGCAAAAGAGAACGAUUGACUCAACUAGAACCUACAGGAUUGUAGUUGAAGGGGACCAUGAGAACCAGAUCUGUGAUGCUAUAAUUGUGAGCAACACUCAUAAGAGCUGUUCUGAUGCUAUCCUCUCCAGCUACAAUGGCAUGGCAUCAAACUAUCGUUUUGCUAAUGCUAUGGGGUUCAUGAGGACUGAGGCCUUGUCCAUUUAGUUGAACCACUAAUUAUCUGCUACUGUAUUUUCCACUACACUAGGUGAGUCCCUACUGGUAAUACAUUGUUACUGCAUUUCUGGAAAUAGUUGUUGCUACACUAGUUGAGCCACUAAAAACAUGCUACUGCGUUUUUUGAAAAUAGCUGUUACUACACUAGAUGAGCCACUAAAAGUACCUGCUACUACAUUUAUUGUAAAUAGCUGCUACUGCAGUUACUAGAAAUAGUUGCUACUACACUAUAACUGAGCCAUCAAAAACUUGCUACUACAUUUACUGGAAAUCUAAAUAAUAAUAUGUAGUUAUUCAUGUGUGAAGGUUAUAAUUGUAAAUGAAUUGUUGACACAUUACAACAUAAAAAUAGUUGCCCUUCUUUGUAAGAUUUUAUCCUUAUAAGUUGUAAGACAAAAAUUAUGUCCUUAUUUAUGUGUAUUGAAUCUUUUCCAAUGAUGUAUAUGUAGUUUGUUAUAAAAAAAAAUAAGACUAAUCAUUUAAAUGAGCUAAUGCAGUCCCCGGGCCACCACUACACUUUCUUACAGAAUGACCCCAAAAUUUAUGGGACUAUGGAGCCUUUAUCUUGCUUUCGUUGUUGUUCUACUCUUCUCAGAAUUGCUCUUCUCUCUUCAAUUCGAUUUAGCAGCUGAUUCAUCUCUCCUCGCCUCCUUGAAUCUGUAAUUAAGUUCUUCUGGGUUGUACUUGGUUAUAGAGUAUUUGGAUCAAUUUUCUGGGUUUGUGGAGGCCUCCAUCAAUCUUGUUUUCAGAGGCUCCUCUAGCAAUUUUAUGGG